rnacentral:lncRNA from 1 species
CUGGGGGAAAGAGAGAGAGGGGGGGGGGGGGGGAGGGGGAGGGAGGGAGGGAGGAAGACAGAAAGAAAAGAAAUAAAAAAUAAAGAAGGAAUAAAGAAAAGCAGCUACCACCGUCCACAGCAGCAGAGCUGGCCUGCAUUCUGCAUAAAGAGCUCGGGCCAAUGGGCAUUCCUACAAAUAGAGCUGAGAGCAAGCAGGCAAGAGACUCUAAGCAGACAAGCCUCAGGGGCAGCAUAGAAGAUUGUGGCUCCUGCUUGCAAUCCCAAUGCUAGAGAAGCAGAGGCAGGAGGAUUGCUGAGUUUAAAGCCAGCCUGGGCUUUAAAUGGCUUACUAUGUGGAGGUAGGCAGGGAGUGAGGGGUUUGUUACUGUGGUGGAGGUCAGAGGUCAGAGGUCAGAGGACAACUUGCAGGAGUUGGUUCUCUCUCUCCAUCCCGUGGGUCCCAGGGAUCGAGCUCAGGUCACCAGGCGUGGAGGCAAAUGCUGUCGCCUCCCGAGUCACCUCCCGGGCACUUAGGCAGACUCUUAACAAAUAAGCAUCAACCCCAGGACAAAAGGGAGUUGUAAGUCUGCAGACUCACUUCUUACCUCCCCUCUCCGUAAUCUGCUGGCUCUUCCCUCAUCCGAUAAGUACUCCCACCUGCAGUAUUCACGGCUCUCUCAGGUCUCACAGACUGGAUCAACCCCUUAUUUAUUUAACCAAAUGCUUCCAGUUGCGAAGUUUCUUCUCUUUUGUUCCUUAGGAUGGAUUUAGGUUGGUCCCAUUUUUCUCUGUAGAAGCAAAUUUACGAAGGACAUCUUAGAAGCAAAAUUUCAGGACACAUGACCAGAAACAAGGUGUUCAAAACAGUGUGAAUAUUGUAAGGAGUGUGGCCACGCAUGACGUAUGAUCCCAAGGGGUUGUUCCUGUGCUCAGCCAUGUAUCCAACACCCGAUGGCAACCACAUGCCCUUUUUUUUGCUGUGUCUCCAGACACCUUGUUUUCUCCUGGGAUGGACUCUGUGUUCCUGCCAGCACUGUGUAACGACCUUGUUGAGAAUGUGAUUCUCUGUACAUGUGUAUGUGGUGGCACACGCCUUUAAUUCCAGCGCUCGGCAGGUAGAGGCAGGCAGAUCUCUGUGUUAGAGACUAGCCUGGUCUACAGAGUGAGUUCCAGGACAGUCAGGGCUAUAUAGAGAAAUCCUGUCUCCAAUCAAUCAAUCAAUCAAUCAAUCAAACACACAAAUGUGAUUCUCAG